GGAACAUUGAGCAUUAUCAAGUACAACGAACUUAAAUCUUGAUUUUUUUUCUCGAAAAGACUUUCAACUGGAAGGAUUAGCUAUUAGAGUUACCCUAAUUUUACAACCCUUUCUCCUAUGUGGAAAGUCCAGUAUUUCUCCCACUUUAGUUGAUUUAACUUUCCAGUUGGAUAUGCAGUUAAAUUAUAAUGUUGAAUACUAACAUAUGUAUAUGUCAUAAGCAU
rnacentral:misc_RNA from 1 species